UACGAGGGGGGCGAGCGUUGUUCGGAAUUAUUGGGCGUAAAGGGCGCGUAGGCGGCCGAUCAAGUCGGGGGUGAAAGCCUGUGGCUCAACCACAGAAUUGCCUUCGAUACUGUUUGGCUUGAGACCGGAAGAGGUAAGUGGAACUGCGAGUGUAGAGGUGAAAAUUCGUAGAUAUUCGCAAGAACACCAGUGGCGAAGGCGGCUUACUGGUCCGGUUCUGACGCUGAGGCGCGAAAAGCGUGGGGGAGCAAACAGG
rnacentral:rRNA from 1 species